AGCGAACGCUGGCGGCAGGCCUAACACAUGCAAGUCGAACGAAGUCUUCGGACUUAGUGGCGGACGGGUGAGUAACACGUGGGAACGUGCCUUUAGGUUCGGAAUAACUCAGGGAAACUUGUGCUAAUACCGAAUGUGCCCUUCGGGGGAAAGAUUUAUCGCCUUUAGAGCGGCCCGCGUCUGAUUAGCUAGUUGGUGAGGUAAAGGCUCACCAAGGCUACGAUCAGUAGCUGGUCUGAGAGGAUGACCAGCCACAUUGGGACUGAGACACGGCCCAAACUCCUACGGGAGGCAGCAGUGGGGAAUCUUGCGCAAUGGGCGAAAGCCUGACGCAGCCAUGCCGCGUGGAUGAUGAAGGUCUUAGGAUUGUAAAAUCCUUUCACCGGUGAAGAUAAUGACGGUAACCGGAGAAGAAGCCCCGGCUAACUUCGUGCCAGCCGCCGCAGUAAAAC
rnacentral:rRNA from 1 species